GAUGAACGCUAGCGGCAGGCUUAAUACAUGCAAGUCGAACGGUAAGUGUAGUAGCAAUAUUAUACGAGAGUGACGUACGGGUGCGUAACACGUAUGCAACCUACCUUGUACAGGAGGAUAGCUCGGGGAAACUCGAAUUAACCCUCCAUGAGAUCACAGUGUGGCAUCACAUAGUGAUUAAAACUCAGGUGGUACAAGAUGGGCAUGCGUCUGANAGUUUAGUUGGCGGGGUAACGGCCCACCAAGACGAUGAUCAGUAGGGGACCGUGAGAGGGUGGAUCCCCCACCACU
rnacentral:rRNA from 1 species